rnacentral:rRNA from 1 species
UACGAAGGGGGCUAGCGUUGCUCGGAUUGACUGGGCGUAAAGGGCGCGUAGGCGGUUUGUACAGUCAGACGUGAAAUUCCUGGGCUCAACCUGGGGCUGCGUUUGAUACGUAUGGACUUGAGUUCGGAAGAGGGUCGUGGAAUUCCCAGUGUAGAGGUGAAAUUCGUAGAUAUUGGGAAGAACACCGGUGGCGAAGGCGGCGACCUGGUCCGAUACUGACGCUGAGGCGCGAAAGCGUGGGGAGCAAACAGG